UUGCUAGAGAUGACGAGCGGCGGACGGGUGAGUAAUGCUUGGGAACAUGCCUUGAGGUGGGGGACAACCAUUGGAAACGAUGGCUAAUACCGCAUAAUGUCUACGGACCAAAGGGGGCUUCGGCUCUCGCCUUUAGAUUGGCCCAAGUGGGAUUAGCUAGUUGGUGAGGUAAAGGCUCACCAAGGCGACGAUCCCUAGCUGGUUUGAGAGGAUGAUCAGCCACACUGGAACUGAGACACGGUCCAGACUCCUACGGGAGGCAGCAGUGGGGAAUAUUGCACAAUGGGCGCAAGCCUGAUGCAGCCAUGCCGCGUGUGUGAAGAAGGCCUUCGGGUUGUAAAGCACUUUCAGUCAGGAGGAAAGGUUAGUAGUUAAUACCUGCUAGCUGUGACGUUACUGACAGAAGAAGCACCGGCUAACUCCGUGCC
rnacentral:rRNA from 1 species